rnacentral:rRNA from 1 species
UGAGGAAUAUUGGUCAAUGGACGCAAGUUUGAACCAGCCAAGUAGCGUGCAGGAUGACGGCCCUAUGGGUUGUAAACUGCUUUUAUAUGGGGAUAAAGUGGGGAACGUGUUCCCUUUUGCAGGUACCAUAUGAAUAAGGACCGGCUAAUUCCGUGCCAGCAGCCGCGGUAAUACGGAAGGUUCGGGCGUUAUCCGGAUUUAUUGGGUUUAAAGGGAGCGUAGGCCGUUUGGUAAGCGUGUUGUGAAAUGUAGGAGCUCAACUUCUAGAUUGCAGCGCGAACUGUCAGACUUGAGUGCGCACAACGUAGGCGGAAUUCAUGGUGUAGCGGUGAAAUGCUUAGAAAUCAUGAAGAACUCCGAUUGCGAAGACAGCUUACGGGAGCGCAACUGACGCUGAAGCUCGAAGGUGCGGGUAUCGA